rnacentral:rRNA from 1 species
GGGUUGUGAGGUUAAGCGACUAAGCGUACACGGUGGAUGCCCUGGCAGUCAGAGGCGAUGAAGGACGUGCUAAUCUGCGAAAAGCGUCGGUAAGGUGAUAUGAACCGUUAUAGCCGGCGAUGUCCGAAUGGGGAAACCCAGUGCAAUUCGUUGCACUAUCGUUAACUGAAUACAUAGGUUAACGAGGCGAACCGGGGGAACUGAAACAUCUAAGUACCCCGAGGAAAAGAAAUCAACCGAGAUUCCCCCAGUAGCGGCGAGCGAACGGGGAGCAGCCCAGAGUCUGAAUCAGCUUGUGUGUUAGUGGAACGGUCUGGAAAGUCCGACGGUACAGGGUGAUAGUCCCGUACACCAAAAUGCACAGGUUGUGAACUCGAAGAGUAGGGCGGGACACGUGGUAUCCUGUCUGAAUAUGGGGGGACCAUCCUCCAAGGCUAAAUACUCCUGACUGACCGAUAGUGAACCAGUACCGUGAGGGAAAGGCGAAAAGAACCCCGGCGAGGGGAGUGAAAAAGAACCUGAAACCGUGUACGUACAAGCAGUGGGAGCACCUUCGGGUGUGACUGCGUACCUUUUGUAUAAUGGGUCAGCGACUUAUAUUCUGUAGCAAGGUUAACCGUAUAGGGGAGCCGCAGGGAAACCGAGUCUUAACUGGGCGUUAAGUUGCAGGGUAUAGACCCGAAACCCGGUGAUCUAGCCAUGGGCAGGUUGAAGGUUGGGUAACACUAACUGGAGGACCGAACCGACUAAUGUUGAAAAAUUAGCGGAUGACUUGUGGCUGGGGGUGAAAGGCCAAUCAAACCGGGAGAUAGCUGGUUCUCCCCGAAAGCUAUUUAGGUAGCGCCUCGUGAAUUCAUCUUCGGGGGUAGAGCACUGUUUCGGCUAGGGGGUCAUCCCGACUUACCAACCCGAUGCAAACUACGAAUACCGAAGAAUGUUAUCACGGGAGACACACGGCGGGUGCUAACGUCCGUCGUGAAGAGGGAAACAACCCAGACCGCCAGCUAAGGUCCCAAAGUCAUGGUUAAGUGGGAAACGAUGUGGGAAGGCACAGACAGCCAGGAUGUUGGCUUAGAAGCAGCCAUCAUUUAAAGAAAGCGUAAUAGCUCACUGGUCGAGUCGGCCUGCGCGGAAGAUGUAACGGGGCUAAACCAUGCACCGAAGCUGCGGCAGCGACACUAUGUGUUGUUGGGUAGGGGAGCGUUCUGUAAGCCUGCGAAGGUGACCUGUGAGGGUUGCUGGAGGUAUCAGAAGUGCGAAUGCUGACAUAAGUAACGAUAAAGCGGGUGAAAAGCCCGCUCGCCGGAAGACCAAGGGUUCCUGUCCAACGUUAAUCGGGGCAGGGUGAGUCGACCCCUAAGGCGAGGCCGAAAGGCGUAGUCGAUGGGAAACAGGUUAAUAUUCCUGUACUUGGUGUUACUGCGAAGGGGGGACGGAGAAGGCUAUGUUAGCCGGGCGACGGUUGUCCCGGUUUAAGCAUGUAGGCUGGUUAUCCAGGCAAAUCCGGAUAAUCAAGGCUGAGGUGUGAUGACGAGGUACUACGGUGCUGAAGUAACAAAUGCCCUGCUUCCAGGAAAAGCCUCUAAGCAUCAGGUAACAUCAAAUCGUACCCCAAACCGACACAGGUGGUCAGGUAGAGAAUACCAAGGCGCUUGAGAGAACUCGGGUGAAGGAACUAGGCAAAAUGGUGCCGUAACUUCGGGAGAAGGCACGCUGGUGUGUAGGUGAAGUCCCUGCGGAUGGAGCUGAGACCAGUCGAAGAUACCAGCUGGCUGCAACUGUUUAUUAAAAACACAGCACUGUGCAAACACGAAAGUGGACGUAUACGGUGUGACGCCUGCCCGGUGCCGGAAGGUUAAUUGAUGGGGUUAUCCGUAAGGAGAAGCUCUUGAUCGAAGCCCCGGUAAACGGCGGCCGUAACUAUAACGGUCCUAAGGUAGCGAAAUUCCUUGUCGGGUAAGUUCCGACCUGCACGAAUGGCGUAAUGAUGGCCAGGCUGUCUCCACCCGAGACUCAGUGAAAUUGAACUCGCUGUGAAGAUGCAGUGUACCCGCGGCAAGACGGAAAGACCCCGUGAACCUUUACUAUAGCUUGACACUGAACAUUGAGCCUUGAUGUGUAGGAUAGGUGGGAGGCUUUGAAGCGUGGACGCCAGUCUGCGUGGAGCCAACCUUGAAAUACCACCCUUUAAUGUUUGAUGUUCUAACGUUGGCCCCUGACCGGGGUUGCGGACAGUGUCUGGUGGGUAGUUUGACUGGGGCGGUCUCCUCCCAAAGCGUAACGGAGGAGCACGAAGGUUAGCUAAUCCUGGUCGGACAUCAGGAGGUUAGUGCAAUGGCAUAAGCUAGCUUGACUGCGAGCGUGACGGCGCGAGCAGGUGCGAAAGCAGGUCAUAGUGAUCCGGUGGUUCUGAAUGGAAGGGCCAUCGCUCAACGGAUAAAAGGUACUCCGGGGAUAACAGGCUGAUACCGCCCAAGAGUUCAUAUCGACGGCGGUGUUUGGCACCUCGAUGUCGGCUCAUCACAUCCUGGGGCUGAAGUAGGUCCCAAGGGUAUGGCUGUUCGCCAUUUAAAGUGGUACGCGAGCUGGGUUUAGAACGUCGUGAGACAGUUCGGUCCCUAUCUGCCGUGGGCGCUGGAGAAUUGAGGGGGGCUGCUCCUAGUACGAGAGGACCGGAGUGGACGCAUCACUGGUGUUCGGGUUGUCAUGCCAAUGGCACUGCCCGGUAGCUAAAUGCGGAAGAGAUAAGUGCUGAAAGCAUCUAAGCACGAAACUUGCCCCGAGAUGAGUUCUCCCUGAGACUUUAAGUCUCCUGAAGGAACGUU